CUCAGCUGACUAGUUCCAAAUAGGACGAAACACGAGUCCUUGAU
rnacentral:hammerhead_ribozyme from 1 species